GUGCCAGCCGCCGCGGUAACACGUAUGAGCUAACGUUAUCCGGAUUUACUGGGCGUAAAGCGCGUGCAGGCUGUUCGGUAAGUUGGACGUGAAAGCUCCCGGCUCAACUGGGAGAGGUCGUUCAAUACUGUCGGACUAGAGGAUGGUAGAGGGAGGUGGAAUUCUAGGUGUAGUGGUGAAAUACGCAGAUAUCUGGAGGAACACCAGUGGCGAAAGCGGCCUCCUGGACCAUUCCUGACGCUCAGACGCGAAAGCUAGGGUAGCAAACGGGAUUAGAGACCCCGGUAGUCCUAGCCGUAAACGAUGUGAACUUGGCGUCGGUGGGAUUAAAUCCAUCGGUGUCGAAGCUAACGCGAUAAGUUCACCGCCUGAGGACUACGGCCGCAAGGUUAAAACUCAAAGGAAUUGACGGGGACCCGCACAAGCAGCGGAGCGUGUGGUUUAAUUCGUUGCUACACGAAGAACCUUCGCUANGUUUGACAUAUAGGUUGUAGGGAACUGAAAAGGGACCGACCCUUCGGGGAGCCUAUACAGGUGUUGCAUGGCUGUCGUCAGCUCGUGUCGUGAGAUGUUCGGUUAAGUCCGCUAACGAGCGCAACCCU
rnacentral:rRNA from 1 species